rnacentral:lncRNA from 1 species
GCUCGUUCUCCCUCGUCCGAACUCCGAUUUAUGAACCGUUUGCGCUCACGAACUCCUAUCGAGACGAACUACAACUUCUAUUUCAGCCAAAUCUUCCAAAUCUGCUUCUUUAUUUCUGAAAAUACGUUCAAACACAAGCGAGUGACAAGUUCUUGACCAAAAACCAAUAUAAGCUCAAAAUAAACCAUCAAACACACAAAAACCUCAUAACUAACCAUCAAAUAUGAC